GUUAGGGUAAACAAUUUCAACUACGAUUGUCUUGUCAGGAUUGCUAAGGUCGACUUUAUGUGGCCCAGGAACAGAUUUUGCAACUGAAUUUAUAAUUUUCAUCCUGUCAAUGCCAGUGUUUGCACGAGCUUCAUAAAGCACAGCAAACUUCUGCGGCUCUCGAGUAUCCACAGGAAAAUAUUUUGCCACAACUGGAGUCAUUGCUUUUGAAAUUUCCUCUUCUGAAGCAUAGCACGAAACUUCAAUUGGCAACACUCUUAAGAUAAACCUUGACAUGUGUUUCCUAGUUGAUGCAGCAGAAGUCAUCAUGUGCUGUACAAUAUCUCUAGGAGAAGGGUCUCCAUCUCUCUUGCGCAUUUGAACAAAAGCAACACCAUUACAACCUGAAUCAAGAUUUGCAAAGCGCCUCUUACUCCUAUCUCCAAUUUCUUUGAGUUCAUCUUCAAUAAGCUUAUCAAUGGAUUUCUGCUCCACCUUUUCAUGGACAACAGAUUUUGAGACACAUGUUUCUAUGCAUUGCUUCUUCACUGGAGGCUCCUUGGCUUCAUUUGUUUGAUUUUCCAGAUCUUUAGCACUCUCUUCAUUAUCAUUAGUGUUUUCUUCCGUUUGAUUUCCACAGCACAAAUUCUCCACAUUAAUAUCUAACUUCUCAUUUGUUGGACUUUCACUUUUAACAUCAUUGUUUUGGUUUGUAUCUGGUUUAUUCUCUUCCUCCCCAUCCUCCUCUUCAUCCUCUUCCCCCUCCACCUCAUUAUCAUCUUCUUCUCUUUCUUCAUCGUCAUCAGAAUAUACAAACUUUAUCUUUUUAUUUAAAGGUUUAUUAGGCAACUCUGCUGGCUU
rnacentral:misc_RNA from 1 species